ACUCCUACGGGAGGCAGCAGUGGGAAUCUUGGACAAUGGGGCAACCGUGCAUCAGCCAUGCCGCGUGAGUGAUGAAGGCCUUAGGGUCGUAAAGCUCUUUCGCCUGUGAAGAUAAUGACGGUAGCAGGUAAAGAAACCCGCGUACAUCCGUGCCAGCAGCCGCGGUAAUACGGAGGGGUUAGCGUUGUUCGGAAUUACUGGGCGUAAAGCGCACGUAGGCGGAUCGGAAAGUUGGGGGUGAAAUCCCGGGGCUC
rnacentral:rRNA from 1 species